rnacentral:rRNA from 1 species
UGCCAGCCGCCGCGGUAAUACGAAGGGUGCUAGCGUUGUUCGGAAUUACUGGGCGUAAAGAGCAUGUAGGCGGAUGAAUUAGUCAGAGGUGAAAGCCCCGGGCUCAACCUGGGAACUGCACCUGAUACUGCCAGUCUAGAAUACGGUAGAGGGUAGUGGAAUUUCCUGUGUAGCGGUGAAAUGCGUAGAUAUAGGAAGGAACACCAGUGGCGAAGGCGACUACCUGGACCGAUAUUGACGCUAAGGGACGAAAGCGUGGGGAGCGAACGGGAUUAGAUA